rnacentral:lncRNA from 1 species
GUAAUCACAAGGCUUUCUAUUUCCAAAGAAUUAUUAGAGGUUUCAAGAAGUUUUCUAAGGUUUUAUUCAGUGGCAGAAGACUUCUUUCAUUGAAUAAAUUAUAAAGAAACAACCAGUGACAAAAUAGUAUCACUUUAUGAUUAGACCUCAUGAAUCCUAACACAUUAGUCACACUGUGAUGGUUAAUACUGAGUGUCAACUUGUUUGAAGGAUCAAAGUAUUGUUAUUGGGUGUGUCUGUGAGGGUGUUGCCAAAGGAGAUCAACAUUUGAGUCAGUGGACUGGGAAAGGCAGACCCUAACCUUCAUCUGGGUGGGCACAAUCUAAUCAGCUGCCAGCAUAGCCAGAAUAAAAGCAGGCAGAAGAACAUGGAAAGAUGAGACUGGCUUAGCCUCCGAGCCUACAUCUUUCUCCCAUGCUGGAUGCUUCCUAUCUUCAAACAUCAGACUCCAAGUUCUUCAGCUUUGGGACUUGGACUGGCUUCGUUGCUCCUCAGCUUGCAUACAGCCUAUUGUGGGACCUCAUCUUGUGAACAUUCUCCACCCCUUCAAGCAAUAGCAAGAUUGAGCAGCAUUCACCGCCCAGGGAAGACAUCAAUUAUAAGCAGAAUGAAGAUAAGGAAGAGAUCAAAGGCCUGGAAGAAUACUGAGCAAGGGCAAGACUUCCCAUGCUAGGCCAGAACAGAUCUAGAGACCUGUAGGGUCGGAAGGGGAGAGAUGAAGAGGAAGCAAAGAGAGUGAAAAAAUGAGGUGAGACUAUGCCAACUUCCAGCAAGAAGAACAGACAAAACCCCUGCAGAGGUUUAGGGAUCUGAGGCUGGAAGGAUGACCUCGGAAGUCACAUGCUGAAGAUGGAAGACAUGUUGUAGUGCUGCAUUGACCUGGGGCUCAGACAUCUCAGACUCUUGUAGAAAAAAAAAAAAAAAAAAAACAAGACACAACUUUAUUGGGUUUGGUCUUACUUAUUAUACAUAUAUGCAUUACUACAUUAAUAUAUCUUGUUCCAGCAGCUUAGUUUUUACUUUUAGCCUCUAGAGGAUUUAGUGAUUUAAGUAGCCAUGAAGGGUAAAGAACACCAGGGAUUUCACAAUGACUAAAUUUAACAGCACAGAUGGCAGGGUUGAUAGUGUGCCAUUAUUUGAGUUAAAGAAAAAGCAAAAGAAAUUGCAGCUCUGGGGAGAUGAUAAUAAACUCACAUUUUGAAGGAUGAAGUUUAUGUUACUUGUGGGAUAUCCUGUUGGAGAUAUUCAGUAGGUUUUUAGACAGUCCUGGAUCUGAGAAAAAUAUGAAAGGUUUAUAGAAGCCAGAUGCGGCAGGGAAUACAUAGGGAGAGGUUGUGCAGCUAGAAGAGAAGGCAGUCAAUUACAAGACCCCCAGAAACCAAAAGCAAUAAAUAAAUAAAUAAGGAAGACUGUCAUAAAAACAAUGUUGAAUGAUGAAACAAAAAACAAAAAAUAGGUGCUAAAAAACACACCCAUUCACACAGUGUGAUAUUAUUUAAAGAAAAGUUAAAAUAUACCAAAAUAUGACAUGACACAUUAUGUACAGGUACAUACUAUGUAGCAAAAGAAUAUUUAAAAUGCAUGUGAUUGUAAACAUGCAAGUUUGGAUAAUGGUUACACUUUCAUUUGGGCAUGAAGGAACAUACAAUCUGGGAGGAACACAUAGGGAACUUGAAAUUUGUUGAUAGUGUUUUAUUUAUUAAAAUGGAAGCAGGUACAGAAGUGCUCACUUUUUACAUAGUUCACAUGAUUUGAUAACAAAAUUUAAACCUAAAAUGCAGAAAAGAAAGAGAGUUUUACAAAGUAGGAUGCAGUUAACAAUAACAAAGGAAGAUGAGAAAUAGAAAAUGACAAUUGAAUUUGACAGCCAGUAGUUAAUUAAUGACAUUUAGAAGAGGAAUUUUAGUAAGUACAGGGGAACUGAGUUAGAUUUUUAAAAAAUGGAAUGUGUAAAAUUCCACAUUUACAUUCUAAACAUUACACUAUUUUUGUUGUGCUAUUCACUCUAGGAAAUUGCCUUAUAAUGAGGAGAAAUAAAUAAAUUUUACAUUCUGUAGUAAUUAGAGGAAAAGAUACUAAUGAGAUGAUAACUGCUCUAAUUCAUCUAAUAAAAUAUUUUUGAUUGGGUUAGUUUAUUAUAGGAAUCAGCUAUAAAAUAUUAAUCAUUUCUCACUAGUAUAUUAGAAAUAACUCUUAAAUCUGUUAAAGGUACAUAAAUUCUAGUGGGCACCUGAAUGUAAAAUAAUGAAAAGUAAAAAGACUCUGAAGAGAAAUUUUUUUUUAAAUUUAGGAAGCCAGUAAACCAUUUUCAAAAGAGUAUUUGUUAUGUUCUAAUAUUUGCGUCUCCCCGAAUUCAUAUGUUGAAACUCUAACCCGUAAGGCGAUGGCAUUAGGAGCCUUUGGGAAGUUAUUAGGUCAUGAGGGUUCCUCUUGCAUGAAUAGGAUUCCUGCCCUUAUAAAAAUGGCCCAAGAGAGCUCGCUGGCCCUUUCAGCCACAUAAGGACACAGUGAAAAAACGUUUAUAAACCAGGAAGUGGGCCCUCACCAGACACUGAACCUGUUGGCACUUUGAUUUAGAACUUCCCAGUCUCCAGAGCUGUGAGAAAUAAAUGUUGGUUGUUUAUAAGCCACACAGCCCAUGGUAAUUUGUUAUAGCAGCCUGAACAGGCUAAGACAGUUAUGUAAAUAUUACUCUUCCAAAAUAUUUUUCUUUUUUUUUUUUUUUUUUUUUGAGAUGGAGUUUCACUCUUGUUGCCCAGGUUGGAGUGCAAUGGCACGAUCUUGGCUCAUCACAACCUCCACCUCCUGGGUCCAAGCGAUUCUCCUG